CAGCCGCCGCGGGAAUACAGAGGGUGCAAGCGUUAAUCGGAAUUACUGGGCGUAAAGCGCGCGUAGGUGGUUUGUUAAGUUGGAUGUGAAAUCCCCGGGCUCAACCUGGGAACUGCAUCCAAAACUGGCAAGCUAGAGUAUGGUAGAGGGUGGUGGAAUUUCCUGUGUAGCGGUGAAAUGCGUAGAUAUAGGAAGGAACACCAGUGGCGAAGGCGACCACCUGGACUGAUACUGACACUGAGGUGCGAAAGCGUGGGGAGCAAACAGGAUUAGAUACCCGGGUAGUCCCUGUCUCUUAUAC
rnacentral:rRNA from 1 species